rnacentral:rRNA from 1 species
UACGGGGGGGGCAAGCGUUGUUCGGAAUUACUGGGCGUAAAGGGCGCGUAGGCGGCCACCGCAAGUCGACUGUGAAAUCUCCGGGCUUAACUCGGAAAGGUCAGCCGAUACUGCGGGGCUAGAGUGCAGAAGGGGCAACUGGAAUUCUCGGUGUAGCGGUGAAAUGCGUAGAUAUCGAGAGGAACACCUGCGGCGAAGGCGGGUUGCUGGGCUGACACUGACGCUGAGGCGCGAAAGCUGGGGGAGCGAACGGG